rnacentral:rRNA from 1 species
UACGUAGGGCGCAAGCGUUGUCCGGAAUUAUUGGGCGUAAAGAGCUCGUAGGCGGCCUGUUACGUCUGCUGUGAAAUCCCGGGGCUUAACCCCGGGCGUGCAGUCGAUACGGGCAGGCUAGAGUUCGGUAGGGGAGACUGGAAUUCCUGGUGUAGCGGUGAAAUGCGCAGAUAUCAGGAGGAACACCGAUGGCGAAGGCAGGUCUCUGGGCCGAUACUGACGCUGAGGAGCGAAAGCGUGGGGAGCGAACAGG